AGAUUCUAUUAGAAUUAGAAUCUUGUUUUUGUAAUUUUCCUUCUAUCUUCUAUAGCUAGGUGCUCGGUCCAUUCUCAAGCAAGGUUUCACAUAAUACAACAAUGCCAAUAUCUCCUUCUUGAACCAAUGAAUUACUCUCAAAUUUUAUUUAAAAUAUUGAAAAUCAAAUCUAGUAUCCGUACAAAAAAAAUUCACUUCAAUCCAUUAAAUAACUUAGAAAUAUUUUUUGACCUUCAAACUCCAAUUGCUAAGACUUCAACCCACAAAAACCUUCACAUACUUUGAUCUAAUUAUUCAAUUGACCUCAGAAUUUGCACACACAUUUUCAA
rnacentral:lncRNA from 1 species